GAUGAACGCUAGCUACAGGCUUAAAACAUGCAAGUCGAGGGACCGGCGCACGGGUGAGUAACAAGUAUCCAACGUGCCCUUUACUCGGGGAUAGCCUUCCGAAAGAAAGAUUAAUACCCGAAAUGAAGGAUGGGGAUGCGUUCCAUUAGGUGGUUGGUGAGGUAACGGCGCACCAAGCCUUCGAUGGAUAGGGGUGCUGAGAGGAAGGUCCCCCAGAUUGGAACUGAGACACGGUCCAAACUCCUACGUGAGGCAGCAGUGAGUAACAUUGGUCAAUGGUCGUUAGCCUGAACCAGCCAAGUAGCGUGAAGGAUGAAGGCUUAUUGGUCGUAAACUUCUUUUAUAUAAGAAUAUGUAUUAUAUGAAUAAGGAUCGGCUAACUCCGUGCCAGCAGCCGCGGUAAUUC
rnacentral:rRNA from 1 species